AGCAGCCGCGGUAAUUCCAGCUCCAAUAGCGUAUAUUAAAGUUGCUGCAGUUAAAAGCUCGUAGUUGAAUUUCGGGACUAAUAUGUCGGUCGUGCCUCGGUACGUACUGGUUUAUUGGUUUCUCCUUUCUGAAGAACCAUGAUGUCAUUUAUUUGGUGUCGUGGGGAAUCAGGACUGUUACUUUGAAAAAUUAGAGUGUUUAAAGCAGGCUCACGCUUGAAUACAUUAGCAUGGAAUAAUGAAAUAGGACGUUUGAUUCUAUUUUGUUGGUUUCUAGGAUCGACGUAAUGAUUAAUAGGGAUAGUUGGGGGCAUUAGUAUUCAAUUGUCAGAGGUGAAAUUCUUGGAUUUAUUGAAGACUAACUACUGCGAAAGCAUUUGCCAAGGAUGUUUUCAUUAAUCAAGAACGAAAGUUAGGGAUCGAAGACGAUCAGAUACCGUCGUAGUCUUAACCAUAAACUAUGCCGACUAGGGAUCGGAUGAUGUUAAUUUUUAAUGACUCAUUCGGCGCCUUAACC
rnacentral:misc_RNA from 1 species